GAUGAAGAACGCAGCGAAAUGCGAUAAGUAAUGUGAAUUGCAGAAUUCAGUGAAUCAUCGAAUCUUUGAACGCACCUUGCGCCCUUUGGCUAUUCUGAAGGGCAUGCCUGUUUGAGUAUCAUGAACACCUCAACUCUCAUGGUUUGCCAUGAUGAGCUUGGACUUUGGGGGUCUUGCUGGCCUACGGUCGGCUCCUCUCAAAUGAAUCAGCUUGCCAGUGUUUGGUGGCAUCACGGGUGUGAUAACUAUCUACGCUUGUGGUUUCCCGCCAGGUAACCUUCAGUGAUGGAGGUUCGCUGGGGCUCAUAAAUGUCCCUCCACAGUGAGGACAGCUUUUGAACGUUUGAUCUCAAAUCAGGUAGGACUACCCGCUGAACUUAAGCAUAUCAAUAGCGGAGGA
rnacentral:misc_RNA from 1 species